GAUCAUGGCUCAGAAUAAACGCUGGCGGCGUGUCUUAAGCAUGCAAGUCGGACGGCAAGCCGCCUUCGGGCGGCCUAGAGUGGCGGACUGGUGAGUGACACGUGGAUGAUAUACCUUUUGGACGGGGAUAGCCCCUAGAAAUAGGGGGUAAUACCGGAUAAGGCCGUGCGGGUUGGAGCCGCACGGGGAAAGGCGCUAUGGCGCCGCCGAAAGAAUAGCCUGCGACCUAUCAGCUUGUUGGUGAGGUAAA
rnacentral:rRNA from 1 species